rnacentral:rRNA from 1 species
UACGUAGGGCGCAAGCGUUGUCCGGAAUUAUUGGGCCUAAAGCAUCCGUAGCCGGUUCUACAAGUCUUCCGUUAAAUCCAGCUGCUUAACAGAUGGGCUGCGGAAGAUACUAUGGAGCUAGGAGGCGGGAGAGGCAAGCGGUACUCGAUGGGUAGGGGUAAAAUCCGUUGAUCCAUUGAAGACCACCAGUGGCGAAGGCGGCUUGCCAGAACGCGCUCGACGGUGAGGGAUGAAAGCUGGGGGAGCAAACCGG